rnacentral:rRNA from 1 species
UUGGAGGGCAAGUCUGGUGCCAGCAGCCGCGGUAAUUCCAGCUCCAAUAGCGUAUAUUAAAGUUGUUGCAGUUAAAAAGCUCGUAGUUGAAUUUCGGGGUUCUACCGUUGGUCGGGCUUUGUCUGUACUGGUGUGUAGAAUUUCUACCUUCUGGGGAACCAUCAUGCUAUUAAUUUAGCGUGGUGGGAAACCAGGACCUUUACCUUGAAAAAAUUAGUGUGUUCAAAGCAGGCUUAUGUCUGAAUACACUAGCGUGGAAUAAUAGAAUAGGACGGUGGUCCUGUUUUGUUGGUUUCUGAAUCACCGUAAUGAUUAAUAGGGAUAGUUGGGGGCAUUAGUAUUCAAUUGUCAGGGGUGAAAUUCUUGGAUUUAUUGAAGACUAACUUCUGCGAAAGCAUUUGCCAAGGAUGUUUUCAUUAAUCAAGAACGAAAGUUAGGGGAUCGAAGACGAUCAGAUACCGUCGUAGUCUUAACCAUAAACUAUGCCGACUAGGGAUCGGACGAUGUUAAUUUUUCUUGACUCGUUCGGCGCCUUACGGGAAA